rfam:Desulfosporosinus sp. OL contig00046, whole genome shotgun sequence.
CAGACGAUAUCGGAAGAGUUGUACUGUCUUGGGUGGCUGACUGAUUUAUACGGAUUAGGAUUCGAAAGACCGAGCGGAUAGAAAAAUCGAAAAGACCCUAAAUGAAUACUGGAAUAAUAACCGCUUGGAUCUAGAUGACCGAGACGGAGGG